AGGUGGUUUGUCGCGUUGUUCGUGAAAUCUCACGGCUUAACUGUGAGCGUGCGGGCGAUACGGGCAGACUUGAGUACUGCAGGGGAGACUGGAAUUCCUGGUGUAGCGGUGGAAUGCGCAGAUAUCAGGAGGAACACCGGUGGCGAAGGCGGGUCUCUGGGCAGUAACUGACGCUGAGGAGCGAAAGCGUGGGGAGCGAACAGGAUUAGAUACCCUGGUAGUCCACGCCGCAAACGGUGGGUACUAGGUGUGGGUUUCCUUCCUUGGGAUCCGUGCCGUAGCUAACGCAUUAAGUACCCCGCCUGGGGAGUACGGCCGCAAGGCUAAAACUCAAAGAAAUUGACGGGGGCCCGCACAAGCGGCGGAGCAUGUGGAUUAAUUCGAUGCAACGCGAAGAACCUUACCUGGGUUUGACAUGCACAGGACGCCGGCAGAGAUGUCGGUUCCCUUGUGGCCUGUGUGCAGGUGGUGCAUGGCUGUCGUCAGCUCGUGUCGUGAGAUGUUGGGUUAAGUCCCGCAACGAGCGCAACCCUUGUCUCAUGUUGCCAGCGGGUAAUGCCGGGGACUCGUGAGAGACUGCCGGGGUCAACUCGGAGGAAGGUGGGGAUGACGUCAAGUCAUCAUGCCCCUUAUGUCCAGGGCUUCACACAUGCUACAAUGGCCGGUACAAAGGGCUGCGAUGCCGCGAGGUUAAGCGAAUCCUUUUAAAGCCGGUCUCAGUUCGGAUCGGGGUCUGCAACUCGACCCCGUGAAGUCGGAGUCGCUAGUAAUCGCAG
rnacentral:rRNA from 1 species